UUGGGUCUGAGAGUGCGGUACUGAGGUUCUGCAGUUAGACUCUUCUCUGAAAUUACCAAAUGAAGCUACAGCCGGUUUUAACUUGCCAACGCGGUUGGCGUAGAUUACAGCGCGGUUGCCAUGGAUCACAACGUAGUUACUGGCGCUUUCUACGUAGUUGCUACAGACUCCCGAACGAGUCCGGCAGAUCCAAUACAGAAACAAAUCAGUGUAAAAUAAUUAGUUGGUCGUUCCAGAUACUUCGAGUGAUGAAAUGACCCACCUUGUGAAACACAAUGGCAUCUGAACAUAUCCAGCUCCUGCGGAGACCCCUUCCCCCUAAAAAACUCCAACCCAUCCUCAAACCAUUAGCGAAGACCGUUCUCUCAGAUGCGAGGAUGGAAUCCAUUCCUUCGGGAGUCCACAAAAGCACAGAAGGAAGUGACUGGAGUUCCCGUGAUGACCCUCUGUGGGAUUUUCAUCCAGAUCUGCCCCGCAC